UCUGGUUUCCCUUCAAAACGAAUAAAUCUUUCGCCUUUUACUAAAGAUCUCCGUAGAGGGGGACAUUUGUGA